rnacentral:tRNA from 1 species
GGGCUCGUAGCUCAGGAUGGUAGAGCACCGGGCUUUUAACCCGAUGGUCGCGGGUUCAAAUCCCGUCGAGCCCGCCA